rnacentral:rRNA from 1 species
UACGGGGGGGGCAAGCGUUGUUCGGAAUUACUGGGCGUAAAGCGCACGUAGGCGGCUUUGUAAGUUAGAGGUGAAAGCCCGGGGCUCAACUCCGGAAUUGCCUUUAAGACUGCAUCGCUAGAAUUGUGGAGAGGUAAGUGGAAUUCCGAGUGUAGAGGUGAAAUUCGUAGAUAUUCGGAGGAACACCAGUGGCGAAGGCGACACGCUGGGCCGUACCUGACGCUAAAGCGCGACAGCAUGGGGAGCAAACGGG